UUUAACAUAGCAUCUUUCCUCCCGGAAAAUUUCACGCACCAAUUCGAAAUGAACGAGCGAGCCAUGCGGCCUCCUGGGCCCAUCCGGCCCACUGGGCCGGAGAAUCGGUCCAAUCCCACGACGCGAUCACGCCGGCGCCGCCCCACCCCCACCCCACGGUGAACGGAGCCGCGGCCGCCGGCGAUCGAGGCGGGCCGCCACCGCCGGAACGGCAGAAACCCACCAUUGAUUCGCCGGCCUCGUCAAUCGCCCGGUUCCGUUACCCUCAUCUGCGGCGGACUGUCUCCGUCUCCUCCCCAAGUCGUGGACGGACGCGGCGUCGACUCUCAAACUCCUCGGCUAAAUCGCGAGGUUGAUGAUGCUGAUCCGGCACGAUCUUCUGCGUAAUCUUGUUCUCCGAUGUCUGGGGAAAUCAAGCUAGGUGUUGCCGACCUCAGCCAAGUGGGGGAGCUUGUUGGCUGGGAAGGGUGCUUGAAGGUCAUGUGAAAGUAGAUGCCGGCAUGCCGCAGUAGAUGCUGCAGAAAAUUUGCUCCAGCUGCUGUACAGCUCCAGAGUUACAGCUGUUGACAUCAUUGUUUCCAAGUAAAAUUAAAGGAAACUGAAACUCCCUCUCCCAUGCUCUCUUAUAUACAAACUUCCCUGCAAUUUCUAGUGUAGAGCAUAUGUUUUGAUACUCCAGUAUUUCCUUUUGCUUCUUUGCCGGAAUUAUCGAAGGAGGUCAUUCAAUAUAAUUAAGAUAGAAAGAAAUGUUACAAGAAAAGUUUUACAUCAA